CUCCCGCACCCGGCACCCGCCGGGACCCCGCCGGCACCCCACGGACACACCGGCACCGGCAGCGCCGCAGUGCUCCCAGUGCUCCCAGUAAGGCUCCGUGUCCCCCCCAGGCCAUGGCUGGAGCGUAGCCCCUCCCCCACCGGACACAGGACCGACCCUCGGACACGCUGAGCCAGAGCCGGAAGGGAGCGAUGAUUGGCUGCCAGGCAAGAGGCGCGCUGUGAUUGGCCGGUUCCUGGAGAGCGUCGCGU